UAAAAAUAUAAUUUUUUUUCUUUCAUAGUCAUGUUUUUAAUGACCUAAUCAUUAAAUUCUAUCAAAAUAUAUAUCGUUAUUUUUAGUCUUAACUACGACUCAAGUCGCGACUCGAGUUAUUAACUUGAGUCGUGAACUCAACAGUGUUGAAUUGGUUGGUUGUUUAAUAUCCAUACCUGGCGCUUGGCUCUAAAAAUCGACUAAAUCAGCUAUGAACAUAAACCCUAAGCAUAACAGAUAAUUAAAAGACCUAUUGAAUAGGCAACAAGCCAAGCGUUACUUCUCGAUGGGUGAAGCUAUUAUUAGGGGGAGGUUAAAAAUAUUUGAUAUAGUUACUCAUAUAACUGAUCAUGAAAGACCUUGCUUAAUUAUAUCAUCCCGCAAGAUAUGCCUAGCAUUAAUUAAUAUUUAUUUAUUUUUAGUAAAAUAAUUUAUUUUAUUUAUAU